ACGAACGCUGGCGGCGUGCUUCACCCAUGCAAGUCGAACGGAAAGGCCCUGCUUUUGUGGGGUGCUCGAGUGGCGAACGGGUGAGUAACACGUGAGUAACCUGCCCUUGACUUUGGGAUAACUUCAGGAAACUGGGGCUAAUACCGGAUAGGAGCUCCUGCUGCAUGGUGGGGGUUGGAAAGUUUCGGCGGUUGGGGAUGGACUUGCGGCUUAUCAGCUUGUUGGUGGGGUAGUGGCUUACCAAGGCUUUGACGGGUAGCCGGCCUGAGAGGGUGACCGGCCACAUUGGGACUGAGAUACGGCCCAGACUCCUACGGGAGGCAGCAGUGGGGAAUAUUGCACAAUGGGCGGAAGCCUGAUGCAGCAACGCCGCGUGCGGGAUGACGGCCUUCGGGUUGUAAACCGCUUUCGCCUGUGACGAAGCGUGAGUGACGGUAAUGGGUAAAGAAGCACCGGCUAACUACGUG
rnacentral:rRNA from 1 species